GACGAACCGUGCGAACGUUGUUCGGAAUCACUGGGCUUAAAGGGCGCGUAGGCGGCCUGCCAAGUCCGGGGUGAAAGCCUCCAGCUUAACUGGAGAAGUGCCCUGGAUACUGGCGGGCUCGAGGGAGGCAGGGGUCGUGGGAACUUCCGGUGGAGCGGUGAAAUGCGUUGAUAUCGGAAGGAACGCCGGUGGCGAAAGCGCACGACUGGUCCUCUUCUGACGCUGAGGCGCGAAAGCCAGGGGAGCAAACGGG
rnacentral:rRNA from 1 species